GCCGCCUCCCGUCACAGCAUUACCGGUGCACAGCCAGAGAACAACACAUCACACACAGGAAACAGUUGUGCUCAUGUGAUGGGGGCCUCAGCACUAGGAAGGAGUGGACUAUUGGCACACGCAGCAGCUUGAAUAAAUCUGAAAGUCACUACGCUGCAUAAGAGAAGCCAAAUUUUAAAAGUGCAUACUGUGUACAGAGGGUGUCGAGAAUGCCUCCUACGUGACGGAAAGCAGAUCUGUGGUUCCCUGCAGACUGGCAGGAGCAGAUUCCAAAGGCACAGGAAGAAGCUUGUGGGUAGAGUGUGUUCAUUAUCUUCUGUGCAUUACACCAUAAAAAAGCUGGUCAUAAAAAUGCGAACCAAAAACAAAGGUGAAACUAGGAUAAAAUUUCUCACCUGUGUGAUUGGUAAAUGUGCAGGUUUGACAUCAUGCUUUGUUUAUGAAGCUGUGGGAUACAAGGACUCUCAUACGUCACUGUGGAAUGCAGAACAUUGCAACCUCAUGGAAGAGGAUUUGGCAGCAUCUAACAAAAGUAUGUGGCAUUUGCCCUUUGGCUCAGCAAUUCUAGACUCUGCCUCAAAAAAAACUCUGGCAAAAAACUGAAAGGACUUUACUCACAGAAUUCUUUUCACGCCUAAAUGUGUUUGCAACCAAGUUCUUCACUGUGGCAUUUGUAAAACUGGAAACAAUCAAAAUGUCCAUCAGUAGGGGAUUAGGAACAUUAAUUCGUACAGUGGGGAACUCAGUACCAGAAGAAGGGAUGAGGAAGACCUAUCGAUAAGGGGCAGAGUACAUAUCAUAUGAUGCAAAUAUAUAUUUGCUUUUCCUUAAAACAGUACAAAGAUAAAAACUAAAGUGGUUGCUGUGGAGGACAGGGGUCAGUGGUGGAAGUGAGACUGAAAUAGACUCUGAAGUAAUAUCUGGACUUUGAAAUUGUAAGUGUUUUACAUAUUACCAAACUAAGUUUUAAGAUAGUCCCUAAAAUUGAAAGAAUAGUAUCUGAAAUGAAUGAAUCUAAAUUCCUUGGAUUGCGUUCUGCAGGUGCCAACCCUGAGACCAAAAUUUGGAAGGUGGCCCUGAGCAGCAGCUGAAGGGAAGCAGGAGGUGAGACAGGAAAGAGGUGAGGGCACGGGGUGUCUGGGAGCCGGGUCCCACGUGGGCAGCUGGGCCCGUGCUCAUUGUGGGAGCUGGUGCAUUCCUUCACCAGCCCACGCUCCACAGGGUCAGGAUGGUCAAUUCCGGGCACCCCCGGCCUAAUCCAGGACGUGCUCCUGCCACCAGAGAAAGCCCCUAGGCAGCGUCCCGGGUGCUGGUGGUGUCAGAAUCAAGUUUGAGUCUGAGGAGUGACCUGGGGCUGGCUGGGCUAGGCAGCAUCACAGGGUUCUGCAGCCCAACUGCACAUCAGGCUGGUGACAGUCACACAGCCUAUUACUUCGUGUGUCAUCAGAGCAUCGCCAGAACGCAGCACUUCAAGUAUGCAGAUUUAGUGAGCCAUAGUUUAAAGACAAAUAGAGCCACUGAAAUCCUAAAUUUCAAUCAAUCAUCUCCUUGUUACUUGUCUUAUUGGUAUUAAGCCUUUGAAAUUAUCUGGGGUGGGAGUAAACUAUAACUAAUUAUGUUAAUGCUAAAACUAAGAUUUUUCUGGCCAGGUGCGGUGGCUCACACCUGUAAUCCCAGCACUUUGGGAGGCCGAGGUGGGCAGAUCACCUGAGGCCAGGAGUUUAAGACCAGCCUUGCCAACAUGGUGAAACCCCAUCUCUACUAAAAUUCAAAAAUUAGCUGGGCAUGGUGGCAGGUGCCUGUAAUCCCAGCUAUUCAGGAGGCUGAGGCAGGAGAAUCGCUUGAACCAGGAGGCGGAGGUUGCAGUGAGCCUAGAUUGUGCCACUGCACUCUAGCCUGGGCAACAGGAACAAAACUCCAUCUCAAAAAAUAAAAAAAGAUUUUUCUGAGAAAAAGGUGUAAAACCAUAUACUAAAUUUGAAAUAGAAAUAUAAGCAUGAACUCUCUUGUUCCUUUCACAUAGACACAUUUCCUAGCUCUGCCCCAGGAGCAGUAGGCACAUGAAGCAUCUAGACUUGGUCUCUAAUACAUGAAAACCAUGAAUUCAUAGUGAUGGUUUCAAAGCCAAAACCAACCAAACACAUGUAAU
rnacentral:lncRNA from 1 species